UGUGCAAAUCCCCUGCAAAACUGA
rnacentral:miRNA from 1 species